GUCUGCUUUAUCUCAGGUCUGGCUUCCUGCCAGGUGUUGUGGUUGUCACCAUCACUCAGGGCAACAGGCUGCCUUGUUCCCAUUUGGGUAUAAGACAAGAAAAACUUCCUGCAGUCCCUAAAGGAAAGUCUGAAGCCAGACAAGGCCUACAGCUCCGGUAGCCACGGAGACAGGAGGCGUGGUGCUGCGCUGGUGGCUUGGAUCCAUCAGAGCCCACCUGGGAGGUCCCAACCUGCCUCACAAUGGGGGAAGAUGGAUAGACGCCGAGAACAGGAGCUCAACAGGCACCAUAGGAUCAUAAACCUCAUUUACAGCAACCAGCAGAGGCCUGGCCAGGGCGCCUAGGGAAAGGCCCAGCAGACUGAAUUGUCCACAGCUGGCAGUCCCAAGGAAUGACUCACACUCCCGGAAAGAUGCCUGCCUGUCCCCACCAACCCAGCCACUCACCAGGUCACCGCCUGCAAGUUUUAGGAAUCUCUGCUAUUUGGAGGACUCCGCUGUGAGGAACAAACAGGUCCAGCUGCCCACAGACCCAUUGUUCACUGGGGGAGAUGAGAGGGUUUGCCUGGCCCUGAGGCGGUUGGGGAAGGAAGGGCUGGAGGUGGAAGAGAGACCUCAGCUGAGGGAGGCGCCUUUCUGGAGGGCCAGGAAAGUUGGGCCUGGGAGGCUUCCUGCAGGAGAGAGGGAUGCAUUCCUCCCAUUCCUUAAGGGUGAAUUUCUAAGGGUAGGAUUUCAAGGGUAGUAAAUAAAAAGGGCAGGUGGAAUAUCUAUUUAUUUAUUCAUUUAUUUCCCUUAGUCCAUUCCACGGUUAAUCUGCUUACUCUACAUCAGCUGGAGCCUCCAAGGUGGGGGUGCUAGUCUACCCAGACUGCCAUUACAAAAUACCACAGCCCGGGCCCUGGGGUACUGGGGAUUGACCCCAGGAGUGCUCUACUGCUAAGCCACAUCCUCAGGCUUUUUUUCCCCAUCUUUUAUUUUAAGACAGGGUCUCCAUAAAUUGCCAAGGCUGGCCUCAAACUUGUAAUCCUCCUGCCUCAGCCUCUGGAGUCUCUGGGAUUAUAGGUGUAGUCACCAUGCCCAGCCAGGCUGGGUCCUCCUUACACAGCCUAAAUUUACAUGUCAUGGUUUGGGAGGCUGGAAGUCCAAGACAGAGAUAACAGCAAGGUAAGUUUCAUCCUGAGAUCACUCCUCUUGGCUUAGAGGUAGCAGCCAUCUUGCCGGUGCCUGCUUGGCCUCUUCUGUGAGGAAGAGAGAAAGGAUAAGGCAGUGGGGAGAAGAAGACAGAGUGGGAACACCCACACUGCUCCUUUAGGUGACUCUCACUAAUCCCACUGAUUCAGGGCCCCCACCCUUAACAGUCUCUUUUAACUACUUACAUCCUUAAAAGGUCUAUCUCCAAAGACAGUUACAUUGAGGAUUAGGACAUCAACAUAGGGAAUCUGGGGGAGAUGAUUCAGUCUAUAGCAGUGGGCUUCUCAGCUCAGGCCCAAAGAACCAUACAGGGGCUUACAGGGUUAUCCAGGGGAACUGGGCCCAAGUGGCAGAAGGUAAAGAACGACCCAUCAGUCCCCCUACUGCACCUACAUUCCUGCUCAUAGUUCAGGGCUUUGACCUGGGGGAGGCAGAGGAAGCCCUGCUUCUUAUCUUAGGCCUCUGGAGACCCAGGAUUGGGAAAGAAGGAGACUGGGUCCAAUUGGCCCAUGAGGCUGGCCAAGGGGUUCCCUGGGAAUCAGACACAGAGAAGCAGCAAUGACUCAGGUGACCAUGGACUCGAUGCAGCUCCCUCCCCAGAGCAUCUUCCAGGGGCACAGGUGGCCUCCUGGGCAUCUCCUCUCAGCUGUGUCUGCAGCAACUUCUGUUCACUGUCCUCUGCUCUUCACCGUGUCAGGCACCAUGUGGCCUCUGCAGGUUGACUGUGAACAAAGGCAGAGGAGCCCUGCUGUCAUGGAGUUCACAUCUGAGUGAGUCCGGCAGCAGCCAUUAGAACAAUAAAGAAGUUGAGAAGUAACAGUCAAGGCUACUGGUUGGUCAGGAGAAAGUAUGAUGUAAGGCGGGAAAGACAAAGUAGUGGAUGUGCAAGGAGGUGAGCUAUUUUUGCUCUGGGCUCAGGGAAGUCUUCUAGAGAGAAGACACUGGGCAGAGAGAGACCUAAAUGGAGGAAGGAAGUAGGCAUGUAGAUUUAAGGAGAAGAGCAUUUCAAGAAGGAACCGCAAGCAUGGUGGUUCCAAGGCCAGAGGAACUAGGCAUGUGUGAGCCAUAAGAAGAAGGUCAAAGGGCCUGAGGGGGGAGCAAGGAGAGCCCCAUGGUGAAUGGGGCUGAGGGGGUCUGCAGAGCCAAAUUACAGGGGCCUGUGGGGCUCACCUUCUUCUCUGCGUCUGACAGGAGGCCAUGAAAGUUUGGGACAGAGGAGUGAUGUAACCUGACAGGCUGACAAGGAUUGCUCUGCUAUGUGGAAACAGAGGACCCGUGGGGAGCAGGGAGAGCCAGGGUCAACUGCAGUAGGUCAGGGGGAAGAGGCAACAGGGGAUUUGCUUUGGGGGUGGCUAUAAGGGAUGGAUCAAGAGCCACGUAUUGUACUUUGAAAGUUGAGCUGAAGGUAGAGUGGCGGUGUCCUGUGAGGGGCAAGGAGUCAAGUUCAACUCCUAAGUCAUUGGUGUGAGCUUCUGAGUGAUGGUAGUGGCGAGGGGGAGUUCAAAUUCUGUUGGGACCUUUGAAGUUCAAAGAGCCUGUAACCACCCCAGUGGAGGUGCUGAGUCUCCGUGAGUCUGGAGCUGAGGAAGGCGCGGUGGCUGGUCAGGCUGGAGGAACGCAUUUCAUCUGCUUUUACGUGGGACCUGCUUCAGGGGAGAGAAGGGAAUCCCUGGGGAAACACACAGCAGGGUAAGAGGUGGGAGGACCUCCAACAUGGGGAGGUCAGAAAGAGGAGGCCCAACCAGCCUAAGAUACGGAAGAAGAAGAUUCGCUAUGGUGGCAAGUGCACACAGAGAGGACAGCUCAAGUGUUGGUGAGUGAGGUGAGAGACGAACAACCUGGCUCAUGAAAUCUGGAGAAUUGACGACUGGGCCCCUCAGAGGGUGGUAGGGACCAAGGCCGGAGAAGAGCCUGGGUGGGGACAGGACAGGAAAUGGAGAUGCAGAACAGGCAAGUUAAUUGGGGGAUUUUGCUGUAAAAGACAACAGAGAAAGAAACAAUGCCCCAGCUAGAGGAACAUGCCAGGACCAGCAGGUUGGUCACCAAGGGCCUCUCUAUGAGGUUUCAGAGCUGCAGAGCAGCCUGUGGGAUGCUGUCAGUCAGGAGUAGGUGUGUCCUCCCUGAGAGGGGACUUUAAGGCAUGAAGGUAUCAAGGACUUGGUAGGGGAUAGUGGGCCUCUGCCAGAAGUCUUUCUUUCUUUUUUUUUUGGUGGGAGGGGGGUACCAGGGAUUGAACUCAGGGGCACUCCACUGAGCCACAUCCCCAACCCUAUUUUGUAUUUUAUUUAGAGACAGGGUCUCACUGAGUUGCUUAGCAUCUCCCUAUUUUCUUGCAAUCCUCCUUUCUCAGCCUCCAGGGCUGCUGGGAUAAUAGGCGUGUGCUACUGUGCCAGCCAGAACUCUUUCUUGCCAGCCUGAAAUUCCACCAUCACUGUUUUUGCCAGCUGGAUUUGUUAGAAUCAUGGAGACUGGAAAUGUAACUCAGGGGUAGAGCAUUUGCCUCACAUGCACAAGGCCCUGGGUUCAAUUCCCAGAGCCAUGGGGAAAAAGAAAGAAACAAACAAACAAACAAAAAUACAAUCAUGGAAUAGUAACUAAAACAAACAAACAAACAAAAAAAAAAACCAAAAAAACCACCUACCUGUAGUCCUACCCCUGAUCACCAGCUAAGUGCAGCUGAAGUGACAGCUGGGAUGGCAAGACCCAAAAGUAAGGAUGAGCUCUAGGUAGAGCCCCCGUGGCCUGUGGCUGAACCAGCCUGGGUAUCAGAUCAGAAAGGAUAUCCUGACUGAGGCAGCAGGUACACGCAGGACACAGGACAUUGGAAACAGUUUGAAACCUCAUGACCAGGGACUCUACUUUCUGCUAGCUAAUGUAUUAAUUUACAAACCCAUUGGCUAUCGCUGGGGACUGGUGACUGGUGACACAAAGCAGCUUGUGGACCUUUGGCAGGAAGGAGCCUUCUGGUUGUCUCAGUUGGAAGAUGACUCCCCCCAAUUCUGUGUGUAAAUACGAGGGUGACCUUUGCAUUCAGGAAGAGGAUAUACUAGUUAGGACACCUCUAGCCAGAGUCACAGUGACCCUUGUUAGUCAAAAUGUGAUCCCUUGAUGCCUAGCAUGCACUAUAUUUUUAUCAGGGAAAAAAACUUCCAGAGGGUCCCUUGGUUCUCAUUGAGCAAAAUAGAUCACCUUUAGCAGCAAGGAAGUUUGCAAAAAUGAACUUUUGUUCUUUUCAUUUUCUAUGGUAGCUGGGGAUAUAGCUCAGUUGGUAGAGUGCUUCCUACUUCACAUGCACAAGGUCCUGGGUUAAAACCUCACCACCACCAAAAAAAAAAUGGCAGAUUUACUUUGGGGCUGGGGUUGUGGCUCAGUAGAGCACUUGCCUAGCACAUGCAAGGGUCUGGGUUUGAUCCUCAGCACCACAUAAAAUAAAUAAACAAAGAUUUUGUGUCUAACUACAAUUUUAAAAAAAAUUUUUAAUUAAAAAAAAAAGCAACUCAUGGACAAGCAGCCUAGAAAGGGCUAUUAAGUAGCCAGUUAUCAGUGGGUGCCAUAAAAUACACACAGGAGAUGGAAAUGCACAUGUGGCAAACUUGACAAAUUAAAUUAUUUAUCAGUUAACCGUUUAAUAGAGGAAACAGGAAAGAUCAGGAUCUUCUAUUAGUUUUCUGUUGUUAGUUGAUUUUGAUCUAGUAUUUUUCUGGUUAAUUGAUUUGCUUUUUGUUUCUUCAGAUAAAAAUAUUCAAAAGAUUUUCUUUGAAGCCCAGAAUUUGCAUUUGAAUGUAAAUUUUGUGUAUUGUACCUUGAUCAAUGUUGCAAAACUCAGUAAAGACAUAGGUGAAGAGAUUAAAAAGCAAGGUAAUAGAACAUAUUUAUAAAUGCUUUUCAAAUUAAUAAAUGUGUCUGGAUGCCGUGGCACAUGCCUGUAAUCUCAGCAGCUCAGGAGGCUGAGUCAGGAGGAUCUGCAAGUUCAAAGUCAGCCUCAGCAAUUUAGCAAGGUCCUAAGCAACUUAGUGAAUCUCUGUUUCACAAUAAAAAUAAAAAAGGGCUAGAGAUAUGGCUCAAUGGUUAAUUAAAUUCCCCUGGGUUCAAUCCUUGGUCUCCAAAAGUAAAAUAAAACAAAGCAAAGUAAUAAAUUGUUAUCCAAAGCUGCUAUAUUAUAAAAACCACUUAAUACAGAAAUUUUUACAAUACAAUCAUGGUUGUAUUUCAGAAGCAGUCACCACUUAGCUGCUUAGAAAAGAAAUGGAAAUAACUUAAGUGAGCAAUGACAGGGGAUUGGUUGGAUGACACAGUCAUACAAUGAAAUGCUAUACAACCAUAAAAAUAGUUGUUUUUGAUGGUAUUUAGUAUCAUGAGAAAAUGUUAAAAAUAUAUUAUUAAGUAAGAUAAUUACAUGCCUGUAAUCCCAACAAAUUGGGAAGCUAAGGCAAGAGGAUCAUAAGUUCAAGCCCACCCCUCAGCAACUGAGUGAGACUCCAUCUCAAGAAAAAAAAAAGCAACAUA